rnacentral:rRNA from 1 species
CCUAACACAUGCAAGUCGAACGGUAACAGGAAACAGCUUGCUGUUUCGCUGACGAGUGGCGGACGGGUGAGUAAUGUCUGGGAAACUGCCUGAUGGAGGGGGAUAACUACUGGAAACGGUAGCUAAUACCGCAUAACGUCGCAAGACCAAAGAGGGGGACCUUCGGGCCUCUUGCCAUCAGAUGUGCCCAGAUGGGAUUAGCUAGUAGGUGGGGUAACGGCUCACCUAGGCGACGAUCCCUAGCUGGUCUGAGAGGAUGACCAGCCACACUGGAACUGAGACACGGUCCAGACUCCUACGGGAGGCAGCAGUGGGGAAUAUUGCACAAUGGGCGCAAGCCUGAUGCAGCCAUGCCGCGUGUAUGAAGAAGGCCUUCGGGUUGUAAAGACUUUCAGCGGGGAGGAAGGGAGUAAAGUUAAUACCUUUGCUCAUUGACGUUACCCGCAGAAGAAGCACCGGCUAACUCCGUGCCAGCAGCCGCGGUAAUACGGAGGGUGCAAGCGUUAAUCGGAAUUACUGGGCGUAAAGCGCACGCAGGCGGUUUGUUAAGUCAGAUGUGAAAUCCCCGGGCUCAACCUGGGAACUGCAUCUGAUACUGGCAAGCUUG